rnacentral:lncRNA from 10 species
GGGCUGUUUGUGUUGAUUGGGGUACGGGUGUGUGAGCGCGAGUAAGGGAGAGACCCAGAGACAAAGACCGAUGCUGUAUCAGACUCUGCUUGAGGUUGGAUCAGUGUGGCCUCUGAGAAUGAGGUUUGGUAACCGCGUGUGUUCUGUGUCUGUGUGGUUUUGCGCGCAUUCCAGUGUGUGUGCCAGAGCUAGUGUGUUGGAUUACGUAUGUGUUCCCGAAUGGGGUUGCCUGCGUUCGUGCCUGUGUUAGUCCCUUUGUAGUAGUCUCCGUGAGGGUCCGCUGCUCUGAAUGGGUCCCUGCGUAAGUCCCCAGCUGAUGUCCUGGCCGGGCUCCUCCUGAGCAGUAAACCGCAGGGCUCCACCUGGCAGUCCCAGCCUGAAUGGAGAAGUAGCGGCUGUGACUGGAAGUGGGGGCGGGGGCGGACGGAAAAACCGAAGGAAACAAAAAAGGAAGCAGCUCCCCAUCUCCCCUCUCUCGAGGCCCUUUCUCCCUGGGAACCCCAGCCACUCUUUCUCUGCAGUAUUUCUAGAUUAGCUCACGUCAGCGCACAAGUAGGGCGGCCCGAGGGCUUUGGCCAGAGAGUUGGAGCUGCCAGGACAAGACAGGCUUCCCUCUCUACACCCUCCCGCCUCCUGCCACCUCCUCCCAUCCCAAGCCCCUCCCAGUCUCCCGGAGGAGGCUUCUCUCCAGAUAGGGAACCUCCACCACAUUGGACAGAGAUGCUCCUAACCUCUCCCCAGGUACCCCCUUAAUUUCCCCAGAAGCUCUGGAAAGCCCCUAGCUCCUGCCUGGUGGAAACCAAGACAGAAAUCCUCUUCUUAGCCUCCAGCUACUAAGACCAAAAAACAAAACAAAACAAAGCAAAACAAAAAACAAAACAAAAAAAGACCCCUCUAUAGAACCGUCCUCCAAAUACAGACACUCCAAGUCAUGACAGGACCCAGAACAAAGACAGGAAAGAGAUUCUUCCUCCAAACACAGAGAUCCUCUCCUCCAAGGAGGCUUCUAAAUAGAAGCGAUCCCCCAUCCGAAAUUUGCCCUAUACGGAGAGCCUCGGCCCACCCCAAUUCUCAGAUACAGGAAAGACAGAGAGAGAGAAUUUUCCCUACAGAUUCCUAUAGACAAAGAUCUCCACAUCCUAAUUGCCAUCCUCUCCCCUUCUGUUUCUGGUGAAAUUCUUUGGCCCACAGGAGAUGAUCUGGGCAGAGGCUGGGUCUUUGUAGGAUUCCCCAGUGCCUCCUCCACAGCAUUACACCCAGACCUUAGGAUGGCCACUGAUGCCUUCUCUGACAAGUGAGUCUAAAGUGGGCUGUGACGUUUUUUCAUCAGUGAGAGAUGGGGUCAUUUAUUCCUUCAUUCAGUGAACCUUUUCACAGCCCUUCCUGUGCACGUGAUUCUGUUCUGGCUAUUCCAGGAAUUGUCAAGAUGACACAAGCAUAGUCUCUUCCUAUACUCCCCACUCCAAUUCUUGGGUCUAGGAGGGAACUUAGAAAGCCCUGAGUCCAAUUUUCCUUUCUGCAAUGUUUAAACCUCCCCCAAACAUCCCAACAGAACCUCACAUUUAUCCUAGUUUUACAGACAAGAAAACUCAGGCCUGAGCAAGGAAGUGUCCUGCCCAAGGUCACACAGAAUCCAGGUUAAAGCCAGGCUAGAACCCCCAGGAAUCCUAAGGCUCUUUCCAGCAUGCCUUGCCCUGCACUACCUCGUCUUGUCCUUACAUCAUUUCUCCCUGGUUGUCGUUUGGUAUUUGGCCACCUCAUUGUCCAAAGAGAUGAAAUUCAAAAUCAGAUUCUAGUCCCGCUGGCUAUAAUUAGAUGCCAGCAGUUGGGAAAGGAAUUCCCAUAUUUCCCUCCUUUCCUGCUGUUUGUAAUAAAUGCCUCUUCCCAGGCUGAAGGCAGGUGUGGCAAACUCUCAAACAACCCACACUUUAUUGAAUAAUUCUACCCCAUCACAUACUAAUUCUAUGACAUUGACUACUUCCUUGACUUCUCCUAGCUUCCAUUUCCUCAUCUCUAAAAUGUGAAAAUAAGAAUAACGGCCUCAUAGAAUUAUUGAGAAAAUUCAAUGAGAUCUCAUAUAUGAAAUGCUUAACAGGUGCUGCAUGCCCAAUACGUGAUAGCAAUUAUUUUGUGAUUGUUGUAGUGACUAUACUCAACAGCCAGUUCUCGUUGUGGGGCUGGGGGUGGAAAUGGGAGUGCACAAGAAAAAGCCUGCGAUUGGAUCUGGGGGUUGAGUGAGUUGGAAUGUACGCUCUUCUGUCUUUGAAGCUCUCUGUCCCUGCUCCUCACAGUCGCAAGCUGACCUGGAGAGAAGGGGAGGGAGGUCAGGAGCAGGGAGAGGGAAGAGCCCAGGAGACCAACAGGAUGACUUCCCUUGCUGGUAGUGAGCUGGGCUCUGCCCUGGCGAAGCCAUCAACCUCCAAAUUCUCCCAAAUAGCUCCUCUGGAAGGGUUCCCUAGGAGAGGAUUUUGCAGUAGACUGGUCCCCUGAGUUGAAGCACAACACACACAUACAUUCACACAGAGCAUGACAAGCCGAUGGAUAGAUGUACAAAAACAUGAGGACAACAUAGAGAUUCUAGUAGAUUGAACAGAGCAUUCUAAUACAUUGACAGAGCAACACACAGGUCAUGAACAGGCCAGCACACAGACAGACACAUGCAAGAUUUGUACUAAGACUGCCUGCCACACAAAGAAAUCAGGACAGACACUGGUGGGUCCCUCUGCAUGGGCAGAGGCACCUGGAUAACAGGCUCAGACACACAGCAGUGCAAGAACAGGUAAACACACACACACACUGACAAGCCCCCAGACACAAGAAAUCACACACACACACACACACACACACACACACACACCGAGACGAGUAGUCAGGACUACUCUUGUGUGAUCACUGAAGGGGAAAAGAGGAGAGAACAAAGGGCAGAAAGGGGCAGGGGACGUAAAAAGGACCAAGCAGGGAGAUGGAGAUGGAAGAGGGCUUGCUGAAUGCAGCCACCAGCCAGUGGGACACAAAAGAGGCAGAGAUGCCACAGCCUUUCUCUUUUGCUGAUGCCAGAACCCAGAUCUUGUGACUAAGAAACUAGGGACUGGGAGGGUAUGUGGGGAGAGAGCAGGAGCUGUCGCUACCCAACCUGGGGGUGUCAGAGGGUCUCUCCUGCCAGGGCCACACAGGUUCCUACCUUCUCUCAGGACUUCCACCAAGCCUUGUGAAGCAAGGACUUCCAGAUGAGGAGUUUGGAUUAGGAAGGACCUGGAUCGGAUUCCCUGAAGCCAGGGCCCAGGUGAAAUGCACGCACCCCUUCCUGACACAUGAGCUCAAUCUCUCUGCCUUUGAUGCCUUCAGUACCCAGGGGGUUAAAUGCCUGGCUAACAGAGAUGGGAGUCACUUUGGGGGAAUAAAUAGGGUUAAAUAGAACUGGGCUUAUCUCCCAGAGCAGACAGCACCAUGGGGGAAGGGGAGGCAUGGAGCCCUUGAAUUAAUGGCCUGGAAAGCCAACAUCAUGAGCAUCAUUUCGGGGCUGAAUGAUCACAGAUAGCCCCCUCCCCCUCCCCUGUAGCUCAGAGCCCUCCUUUUCCAGAGCAAAGUCAGCCUUGCAAGUCUUUUCCUGCUGAGGGGACAGGCACUGGCUUCAUAAACCACUCCCACCCCCAAGUAUCCUGGGGCUGGGACAUUGGUGAGGUUUUCCUAUAGCUGGAGGGAGCCAUGUUCACCUUUCCCCAAAUCAAAACCCAAUUUCCUGAUGCUGUGUCCCUGGGCACAAGGGAGGAGAGGCGCAGCAAGGCUGAGGAGCCAGGUGGGAGCCUAUGCAUGGAACAAAGACCCUGAUUCUUCUCCCUUCAAUGGGACAAAUCAGGUGGGGCCAUUGACCAUGUAGGUGCUGCCCCUGUGAGCUCAGGGUAAGACAUAUUAAAAUACAUUCAUGACUGUGUAUGUAGUAGCAGUUUUCCUUGCACACAUAAUGAGCAUCCCAUCUCCAGAGGUGUCCAGGCAGAGGCUGGAUGUCCUAUCAGAGACAAGGUCUAGAGAAGUCCUGCCUCAGGGUAUGGGAGGCUGCAUUUCAUGACUUCUGGGGUUCAAGGUUCAUGCUUUCUGGGCUGACAGCUCUGAGAAGGGGUCAGAGAGCGGGAGACAUGAGGACCCAGGUCUUGCCCUCAGCAGCCUUUAAAACCAGAAGCUACCUAGAACUGAAGGAGGGGCCCUGGACCUGACUUGGUGGGUUAGACCAAUGGUUCCUGCCCUUUCCUGAGAACACAGCUUCAGUUAUGCUGGGAAGCAGGGGCAUGUCAGCCGUAUUCCCCACUGUGUUCCCAGCACACAUUAGAUGCUCAUUCAUGGAGAUGAAUUAAGUCAAUGUUACAAAGCCAUUUCCCCCCUCUGAAGAAACACACAACAGCCAAAAUCCAGGUCUGAAUUAUGAAUACUGUAGCUCUUCUGAAUGGAUUUGUCUUUUGUGCUCACAUCAUCUUUUAUGUAAUUGAAAGUCAGUCCUACAUAGGUGUGUGAGAUGUGAUUUUUGUUAAUCUAAGCCUUGGGAUGCACAUCCAGAUUCAGGGAUUCCUUGCAAGAACACUCAGAAACUACCAGCAGAUUCUAGGUCUCUAGGAAUCUGUGGGUCACUGGUUAUAACUGGGAGAGACAGCUGUGUUGGGGGCUCUGAUUCCAGCAAACCCUGGGACAGGGAUCCUGGGCUCCAGCAGUGCAAACGGGCUGUGUGUCUGACCUCCUACACUCUCUAGGUGCAGAGCUCGCCUUUACUGAGUGCUCUCUGUGUGCCAGGCACUGCUGAAAGUACACUCUCAGGAUUGUUUCCUUAAAUUCUCACAAUCCUGAGACUAGCCCACUGUCAUCUUAGGAGGCUGCAGGCAGGGCCUGCAGGAAUGGACUUGGAGAAGUGGAUAAUUGGAUGGGCAUAAGCAGGGAAGAGGACGGUUGGGAGGAGUGAUGAUCACUGGGGCCAGGGGAGCUGCAGGUGGUCCUUGCUUUAGUUAGAAGCCUCAAGGGUCAGCCUUUGCUGGUCAAAACCUGCCUCCACCGAGAUCUAGAAUAAUCUAUCUCACUGACUGCUAUGGACUGAAUUAUGACCCCCAAAUCCAUAUGUUGAAGCCCUCCCCCUCAAUGUGACUGUAUUUGGAGAUGCCUCUAUAGAAGUGAUUAAAGUUAAAUGAGGUAAAAAUGGUGGGAUGCCAAUCUGAUAGGAUCAGUGUCCUUAUAAGAAGAGACACUAGAGUGUCCUCUCUCUUGAUUUCUCUCUCUCUUCACUCUCUCUCUCUCUGUGUCUCUCUUUCACUCUCAUUCUCUCUCUCUCUCUGCCACAUGAGGACACAAGGAGAAGGCAGCUGUCUACAAGCUAGGAAGCAAGCCCUCCCCAGAAACCAAUCCUGCUGGACCAUGAUCUGGGACUUCCAGCCUCCAGAACUGUUAGAAGAUGUGUUUCUGUUGCUGAAGCCACUCAGGCUUUGUCACUUUAUCAUGGCAGCCUGAGCUAAGACUGAGUGGUUCUGCCAGCCCUGACCUAGCUCAGCGACCAAAGAUUUUUCUAGGUCACAGCCCCCGUGGACAUCUGGUGAGGCUGCAGAUCCUUCUUCUAGAAACACACACACAAUAUUGCACAAGGUUUCAUAUCCCUAAGCCCACCCAUGGUGAGUCCAUGGCCUCCAGCCUAAAAGCCCAAUCUAGACAUUUUUGUUCUCUUCAAAUUCUGUUGAGAGCUGGAAUCGGGAAAGAUAUCAACACUAACAUUUACCAAAUGCUUAUUCUCUGCUAGGUUCUAAGCUAAGUGCUUCCUUUCCCUGUGUCACAACAUCAUGGACAAGCCUCUCACUAUCUCCAUGAGCAUGGGUUGGUUUUAUGUUUAGUUUAUAGGUGAGGACCCUGGAAUGUAAAGAGGUUAAGUGACUUGCCCAUGGUCUCACAGCUAGGUAGUGGCGGAUUCAGGAGUCGAACCCAGGAUCAGAGCUGUCCUUAUAACCUCAGCACUCUAGGUGAGUCUGCAGGGCAGGGCUUGGGUCUCUGGGCUCCAGAGAAGCACUGCAAUCCAGAUCUGACUCCCCGUGGCCAAACACCUCUUUGUGUCAGUUCCCAAGAAUGCUCCCUGCACUGACUGGUAUAUACAUCUAUUCUGAGGCACCCCUGUCUCCCUCUUGACUACUGAGGCAACUCCUGGGACAGGGAGGUGGGAGGCAUAGGGCCAGGUACAUAGUAGGUGCUCUCGGAAGACCUUGUGGAUUUCAUUAAAGUCUGGGUGAGAUCUGGCCUCAGUGGUCUGGGCCCUGUAUCCUGGCUUUCCAGCCCCAAGAACACAUGGCUCUUCCCCAUAGGAUGUCUUAGACCUGCACAGCUGAUAAAGGCUUGGUCUGGUGCAGUGGGUCACACCUAUAAUUCCAGCACUUUGGGAGGCCAAGGCAGGCAGAUCACCUGAGGUUAGGAGUUUGAGACCAGCCUGGCCAACGUGGCGAAAGCCCGUCUCUACUAAAAAUACAAAAAUUGGUGGUGUGUGCCUAUAGUCCCAGCUACUCAGGAGGCUGAGGCAUAAGAAUCACUUGAACCCGGGAGGUGGACUUUGCAGUGAGCCGA